GACGAACGCUGGCGGCGUGCCUAAUACAUGCAAGUAGAACGCAGUUGCGCACGGGUGAGUAACGCGUAGGUAACCUGCCUCCUAGCGGGGGAUAACUAUUGGAAACGAUAGCUAAUUCCGCAUACUGUGAGAUCGACCUGCGUUGUAUUAGCUUGUUGGUGCGGUAAAGGCUCACCAAGGCGACGAUACAUAGCCGACCUGAGAGGGUGAACGGCCACACUGGGACUGGGACACGGCCCAGACUCCUACGGGAGUGAGCAGUAGGGAAUGGUCGGCAAUAGACGUAAGACUGACCGAUCAACGCCGCGUGAGUGAAGAAGGUUUUCGGAGCGUAAUGCUCUGUUGUUAGAGUAACGGUAACUAACCAGAAAGGGACGGCUAACUACGUGCCAGCAGCCGCGGUAAUAC
rnacentral:rRNA from 1 species